CCCCUUCCAGGGUCGCACCUGGAGAAUUCCCAGUCCUCUACCAGUCUUGCCUAUGGGAGGGAGAGUCAAGCGGAGGCCUACCCAUUCCAUUCCUAGCUUGGCCAGUGGCUAGCGAGUGGAAGGCCAUCUGUUACAAGU